CAUAGGCCGGAGGCGAUAUACGUCAUCGCCUCCCGCACCGACCGACUGACGUAGAGGAGACGACGUGGGCCACCUCCGGGAGGGGAGCUGUCGUCCACGUCACUUCCGGCCGCGUCGGAAGCGGAGUUUGGAAGUGGUCAAUUGGAAGUUGAUUCAACACCACUACCACCACCACCAAAAAUCAAGAGAAUGUUGCAAAAUUAUAAAGAAAAAGCCCGGCUUCAAAGAAGAGAUAUGAGAAGACACAUUCACUCCAUCUCAUGGCAGGGUUCGGAAGUCCACAAAUAUUGUACAUAGUUUCAGGAUUUUUCAAGGGAUGUUAUUUUUCACUGACUUUUUGGACUUUGUGAUCAUGCCUCAGCUGAUGUCUCAAACUGGAAUUUCCAACUCAGUGUGUGAGACUGCUUGAAUCUGGAGCAUUCAUUUACCACUUCAACCUUAUCAUCCCCAAAUGUCAUGGGGCCAAGCUGGGUGAAUUCCUUCUAGGGCCUCCAUUUUAGGGAGGGGAUGAGAGACUGACUAACCCUUCAAUCCCUUAUUGGCUCUACUCUGACACAGUACUAUCCCCUUUGUGGAGGUAUCUUCUCUCUAUAGGUAACCUACUCCCCAAUUUUCAGUUCCCUUUUGAAUGUUAUUUUCCCCUAGUAGAAUGUAAGCUCCUUGAGGGUAGCUUUUUCAUUUACCUUUCAUUUGUAUCUCCAGGCCUUAAUACAGUUCCUGGCACAUAGAAGCCCUUAGCCAAGCUUGUUUUGUUGCAGUCCAGAAAUUUCUGUUAUGUUAUUUCCUAAUUACUAUUGUUUUUCACCUAAUUUUUGUUUCUAUGAUUUGAUCUUUGAUCCAUUCCUUUAUUUAAAGAUUUCAUUAAAUCUCCAAUUGGAUCUGUAUUUUGUUUUGAGUUUCUCAAACUGAUAUCUACUUUUACUGUUACGAACUGUAAAGAACAUGAUUAAUAUUUCUGCCUUUUUGUUAUUUGUAAUAUCUCUGUGAUCUAAAAGGCAAUUUUUACAAAAGUUCCAUGAUGCUGAAUAUGUACAUUCUUUAGCAAAACCAUUCAUAAAGUGCCAUAAAACUUUUAUUUCUAAUUUUUCAAGCAAUGUGUUCAAUUCUGUAUUUUCUUUUUUUUGUUAAUUUAUCUAUGUCUUCUUGAAAUUCAGUUCAUUUUCUCUCUAUGAAUGUAGAUGCUAUGUCAUUUGAGUAUGAAAAUUUAAUACUGAUGCUGGUUUUUUAUCUAUAGUUUGUUUUAGCACAAUGUAGUCUCCUUAUUUAUUGGUUUAUAUUGUAGAUUAUUGUUUUUGCUUUGUCUAAUACUUUUCACAGAUGUAGGGGAGAGAUGAAUUCUUAACCAAAUAAGGAAUAAAGGUAAUUACAAAAGAUAAAACAGGUAAUUCUUUAUUACAUGAAAUCAAAAAGCUUUUGCACAAGCAAAAUGUAUCCUGGAUAAGGGAAAUGGUUAAAUUGGGGUGGGGAGCACUUUCUAUCAAAUUUCUCAGGUAAGGAUUUGGUAUCUAUGAUAUAUAGACAACUAAUAAAAAUAUUUAAGACCAAAAGCCAUUCUCCAACAGUUAAAUGGGUAAAAGAUAUGAGCAAACAGUUCUCAAAAGAAAAAUUGCAAAAUAUUAACAAUCACA